rnacentral:lncRNA from 1 species
UGAUGAUUUAUUUUAUUAAAAUUCUAGAAUGCACAAUAACAAAUGUUCCAACAUAGAACAUUUUAAAUAUGUUCUGUAAUGAUUAUAAUAUUAUUGAAGAUGGGGUAUACUGAAAACAUUAUAGUUAAUAAAAUAUUUUUAUAUGUUAAAACUGCUAAUAGGUGCUAGAAUUUAUUGGAUGUUUCUGUACUCAACCAGUUCAACACCACUGGUGACCAUGAACCAAAUUGACUAGUCCGUGCUGAAAUAGUGCUGGAUAUUCAACAUGAAAGAAAAUGCUAAUAUAACAGGACAAAAGAUCAACUUGAUAGAGCUUAAGAUCAAGAAGGAAGAAUACAGCCUAAAGUUGCAGAACAGAUUCCAAGUGCUUGCAAAACAGAAAAGCAACUUACAGAAGACAUACAAUAGGACAAUGAAAAUCAUCAGAGACAGUGUAGAGGAAGUCACAAGAACUCAACCAAGAAAUUCCAUCAAGAAAAUAUUCACCAAAACAUAGGAACUGAUCGAAAAGAGAAG